CAAGUCGAACGGUGACCUCGGAGCUUGCUCCGGGCGAUCAGUGGCGAACGGGUGAGUAACACGUGAGUAACCUGCCCCAGACUCUGGGAUAACCCCGGGAAACCGGAGCUAAUACCGGAUACGACACGAAGAGGCAUCUCCAUCGUGUGGAAAGUUUUUCGGUCUGGGAUGGACUCGCGGCCUAUCAGCUUGUUGGUGAGGUAACGGCUCACCAAGGCGACGACGGGUAGCCGGCCUGAGAGGGCGACCGGCCACACUGGGACUGAGACACGGCCCAGACUCCUACGGGAGGCAGCAGUGGGGAAUAUUGCACAAUGGGCGAAAGCCUGAUGCAGCGACGCCGCGUGGGGGAUGACGGCCUUCGGGUUGUAAACCCCUUUCAGCAGGGAAGAAGCGCAAGUGACGGUACCUGCAGAAGAAGCACCGGCUAACUACGUGCCAGCAGCCGCGGUAAUACGUAGGGUGCGAGCGUUGUCCGGAAUUAUUGGGCGUAAAGAGCUUGUAGGCGGUCUGUCGCGUCUGCUGUGAAAAUCCGGGGCUCAACCCCGGACUUGCAGUGGGUACGGGCAGACUAGAGUGUGGUAGGGGAGACUGGAAUUCCUGGUGUAGCGGUGAAAUGCGCAGAUAUCAGGAGGAACACCGAUGGCGAAGGCAGGCCUCUGGGCCACUACUGACGCUGAGAAGCGAAAGCAUGGGGAGCGAACAGGAUUAGAUACCCUGGUAGUCCAUGCCGUAAACGUUGGGAACUAGGUGUGGGUCUCAUUCCACGAGAUCCGUGCCGCAGCUAACGCAUUAAGUUCCCC
rnacentral:rRNA from 1 species